CGAACGCUGGCGGCGUGCUUAACACAUGCAAGUCUAAGGAGAAAGCUCCUUCGGGAGCGAGUAAACUGGCGAACGGGUGAGUAACGCGUAGGUAACCUACCCUUAAGCUCGGGAUAACCCACCGAAAGGUGAGCUAAUACCGGAUAAUAUCUUUCCUCAUAAGGGGUAAAGAUCAAAGGUGGCUUCGGCUGUCACUUAUGGAUGGGCCUGCGUCUGAUUAGCUAGUUGGCAGGGUAAUGGCCUACCAAAGCAAUGAUCAGUAGCUGGUCUGAGAGGGCGAUCAGCCACAUUGGGACUGAGAUACGGCCCAGACUCCUACGGGAGGCAGCAGUGGGGAAUUUUGCGCAAUGAGCGAAAGCUUGACGCAGCAACGCCGCGUGAUCGAAGAAGCUCUGCGGAGUGUAAAGAUCUGUCAUAGGGGAAGAUAAGUUCCGUUAUUAACACCAUCGGGAUGUGACGGUACCCUAUAAGAAAGCCCCGGCUAACUUCGUGCCAGCAGCCGCGGUAAUACGAGGGGGGCAAGCGUUGUCCGGAUUUAUUGGGCGUAAAGAGUUCGUAGGCUGGUUGGUCAGUCGAAAUUGAAAUCCCACGGCUUAACCGUGGAUCCGGUUUCGAUACUGCCAAUCUUGAGUGAGGUAGAGGUAAGCGGAAUUCCUGGUGUAGCGGUGAAAUGCGUAGAUAUCAGGAGGAACACCAAAGGCGAAGGCAGCUUACUGGACCUAUACUGACGCUGAGGAACGAAAGCGUGGGGAGCAAACAGGAUUAGAGACCCUGGUAGUCCACGCCGUAAACGAUGAGUACUUGGUGGUGGGGGAUUCGACCCCUUCACUGUCGGAGCUAACGCGUUAAGU
rnacentral:rRNA from 1 species